UGGGGGCAGGUCUGCACUGACAUCGCAGGCCCCUGCGAAAGGCCGUGAACUUCCAGGGUGCGCUCACUCCUCCCUACUGAAGUGCGCUCUGCCGACAGCUGGCUGCCCCAUGCACUUGGGUCACGUGGUGACAGUCUUCAGUGUUUGCGUUUCUAAGCCUGCAGGCUGUGGUCCCAGGGUCCCAGGGUCAGCCUGGCCCACACAGCUGGGCUUGUCGGACCGGCUCGGAGAAGUGGUCCAUGCUGUAUGCCACGCAGCCUCUGCACACGCACUUCUGAAAUGCAGUCGUGUGCAUUCGGACGUUGCUAGGGAACGUACUUUCAUCAUAGUUUUGCAUUUAUUCUUUUUAUGGCCAAUUAAAGGCAUAACAAAUAACAGUGACUUUGAUAUUCACCCCGCCAUCCGUGGUGGGCAUCAGAAAAGAGAAGAAAAGGUAAAGUUCCUCUUCACCCAUACCUUUCCUUGGCAUUCCAGUUCCCAGCAUCCCCUGUAGCCUCUGUGGUCCUUACACACGCUGCUCCUCUCCCACACGGAUCUCUACACACUGUCCCAAGCACGUCGUACUCACCAUCACCUCCAUGUCUCAGCCUGUGUGACUUCUGUUGCCUGAAAUAAAGCUUAGAAAUUCACCUGUAGAGCGAUUGACAGUUUACAGUUGCUUUCACACAUAUUUGAUGAUAAUACUUCAUAGAGCGGGAAGCUGAAAAUCAGAGAAGUUGCUUUGCUCAAGGACACAGUGACAAAUUUGUCUAGAUGACACGUUAGGAUCAUUAUGUGGGUCGUGGUAACCUGUCUGUACGUCGAGCUCUGUUUCCAGUGCUGCAGGAUAUAUUUGUCUUUUUACUGCUUUUUUUUAAGCUAUAGCCACCCUUUCCCCCAUGUAAUUGAAUUCUCCGGUCCAAACUGAGUUUUCGCUGUUGACUGUGUUCCCACGUUGUCCUGCCAUCCACAACCUCCUACCCUGUUUGUCUUCUCGUCUGUCCCUCCAGCGCUCCGCACAGCCUCCUUCCACAUCAGGACCCGCUGUCACCCUUGAGACUCUGCUCUCCAGGCUGAAGGAGUCUGCACUCCUCUUAAGCAGCCUGCCACUCUGCUCUUCCGACUGACAAGCCUUAGACACGAGUGGCUGCGGAGCAGUUGCCAUGUGGGGAGUGCAGCUGAGCAAUUUAAUUUCCGUUCCUCCUAAGUCAUUUGAAUUUAAAGAGCGCCUGUGGCGAGGCUCCCAUGAGGCCGUGCAGCUGCAGAGUGGACCGUCUGCCUGGCAGCGGUCACGGGGCACGCCAGGUC